GACGAACGCUGGCGGCGUGCUUAACACAUGCCAGUCGAACGGAAAGGCCCUGCGUUUGUUUGUUGCUCGAUUGGCGAACGGGUGAGUAACACGUGAGUAACCUGCCCUUGACUUUGUGAUAACUUCAGGAAACUGGGGCGAAUACCGGAUAGGAGCUCCUGCUGCAUGGUGGGGGUUGGAAAGUUUCGGCGGUUGGGGAUGGACUCGCGGCUUAUCAGCUUGUUUGUGGGGUAGUUGCUUACCAAGGCUUUGACGGGUAGCCGGCAUGAGAGGGUUACCGGCCACCUUGGGACUGAGAUACGGACCAGAAUCCUACGGGAGGCAGCAGUGGGGAAUCUUGCAGAAUGGGCGGAAGCCUGAUGCAGCAACGCCGCGUGCGGGAUGACGGCCUUCGGGUUGUAAACAGAUUUCGAAUGUGACGAAGAGUGCGUGACGGUAAUGGGUAAAGAAGCAACGGCUAACUACGUG
rnacentral:rRNA from 1 species